rnacentral:lncRNA from 1 species
CAUAAGGUAUUUAUAUGUGGGGGAAGAGGGAGACAACUGGUAUUAAUAAUCUUUGAGAUUGAAAGGCUUUUACCCUGACACUGACACCGCAGUACCACAUAAGCCAUGUGGAUUUUCCUGUUGCUAAGUAACUCUAUCCUUUGGGAAGGGGUUGAGGAUGAAUUAAAUGCUGAAUUCUGCUCUGGAGCAAACUCUAAUAGAGAGGUUUCUCCUGGAGGAGCCUACUAUUUAUGCAAAUCCAAGAUGCCACCUCUGACAGGAAAUCUGAGUGCAGCCUUCUGCAGCCCUUGCAGCUUCCUUGAAACCCUAUCUCUUCCUUCAUGUCUAGACAACAGGAUGAUGAUUGUUUACAAGAUGACUUCCUCCCUUUUCUCACACAGGACUACGUGGUCCUUAAACAGGAACAGGUGGCGGGGAUUGGGGGCUAGCUGCAGAAUGUCCUUCUCUCAUUUUUUCCCUCAUCCUAUGGGAGGGCAACCAAUAAACCAGCACAGACACACAGGCCCAGUGGGACAGGAGGAUCAUUUACUCAGCUUCUUUCUUCUAGGGCUGGAUGGGGCAGCAUCUCAAUCAUAUAGGGCACAGGACAGACCUCAGUAUCACCAGCAAGAAUCCAUUACAGUUCAACAUGUAGUACCUCCAGACCUUUUCCCUGUGCCCCUGGACUCCAAGGUCUAUCCCACCCUCAGCUGUCCAUCUUCUAGAGCAGGCGGUCUAGCCUCCCCAAACCAGAAGAACUUCCUUUUUAUAUUCAACCACCUGAUGGAUGUCCCUGAUCAGUUCCCUCAGCUGCAGAGCACAAGAAGGACCUUCAGGAUCCAGCUUUCUGUGA